rnacentral:rRNA from 1 species
UACGGGAGGCAGCAGUGGGGAAUAUUGCACAAUGGGCGCAAGCCUGAUGCAGCCAUGCCGCGUGUAUGAAGAAGGCCUUCGGGUUGUAAAGUACUUUCAGUCGUGAGGAAGGUGUUAAGGUUAAUAACCUUAGCAAUUGACGUUAGCGACAGAAGAAGCACCGGCUAACUCCGUGCCAGCAGCCGCGGUAAUACGGAGGGUGCGAGCGUUAAUCGGAAUUACUGGGCGUAAAGGGCACGCAGGCGGUUAAUUAAGUUGGAUGUGAAAUCCCCGGGCUUAACCUGGGAAUGGCAUUCAAGACUGGUUAGCUAGAGUCUUGUAGAGGGGGUAGAAUUCCAUGUGUAGCGGUGAAAUGCGUAGAGAUGUGGAGGAAUACCGGUGGCGAAGGCGGCCCCUGGACAAAGACUGACGCUCAUGUGCGAAAGCGUGGGGGAGCGAAACAGGGAUUAGA